UGCUUCUCUUGAGAGCGGCGGACGGGUGAGUAAUGCCUAGGAAUCUGCCUAGUGGUGGGGGAUAACGUUCGGAAACGGACGCUAAUACCGCAUACGUCCUACGGGAGAAAGCGGGGGAUCUUCGGACCUCGCGCCAUUAGAUGAGCCUAGGUCGGAUUAGCUAGUUGGUGAGGUAAUGGCUCACCAAGGCGACGAUCCGUAACUGGUCUGAGAGGAUGAUCAGUCACACUGGAACUGAGACACGGUCCAGACUCCUACGGGAGGCAGCAGUGGGGAAUAUUGGACAAUGGGCGAAAGCCUGAUCCAGCCAUGCCGCGUGUGUGAAGAAGGUCUUCGGAUUGUAAAGCACUUUAAGUUGGGAGGAAGGGUAGUAACCUAAUACGUUGCUACUUUGACGUUACCGACAGAAUAAGCACCGGCUAACUUCGUGCCAGCAGCCGCGGUAAUACGAAGGGUGCAAGCGUUAAUCGGAAUUACUGGGCGUAAAGCGCGCGUAGGUGGUUCAGUAAGUUGGAAGUGAAAUCCCCGGGCUCAACCUGGGAACUGCUUUCAAAACUGCUGAGCUAGAGUACGGUAGAGGGUGGUGGAAUUUCCUGUGUAGCGGUGAAAUGCGUAGAUAUAGGAAGGAACACCAGUGGCGAAGGCGACCACCUGGACUGAUACUGACACUGAGGUGCGAAAGCGUGGGGAGCAAACAGGAUUAGAUACCCUGGUAGUCCACGCCGUAAACGAUGUCAACUAGCCGUUGGAAUCCUUGAGAUUUUAGUGGCGCAGCUAACGCAUUAAGUUGACCGCCUGGGGAGUACGGCC
rnacentral:rRNA from 1 species